rnacentral:rRNA from 1 species
AUAAAACCUAAAGGCGCAUUGAAAGAGAAAAUCGACCUUGCGUCGAUCGAGGGAGGAUGAGCGUUGCUUUUGCAUCGCUCCGCACUCCCGGGGCGUCUCGUUGUCAUUGCGACAUGAGGCGCACCUAGAGCGUACACGUUGGGACCCGAAAGAUGGUGAACUAUGCCUGGUCAGGAUGAAGUCAGGGGAAACUCUGAUGGAGGUCCGUAGCGAUUCUGACGUGCAAAUCGAUCGUCGGAACUGGGUAU